GAAGAAAAAAAAAGAAACCCAAACAUCAAUGCUACCUUUGCAACAUAAAAAUGGAAGCGAAGGGCUAAUGUGGAGACUCUGAAACAGUGGAGUGAGCAACCACCAAACGCACCAGCGAGAGUGCCCCAAGUAGAGACAGACUAGGAGAUGGGACGGGGUGAUGGGCUCCCAUGGAGAAAUGAAGCCCCGCUCUACCUACUAACUCUAAAUGCUACCAUUAAAACUCCCGAGUCCCGGAGUUAGUUUAAUGUCACUGACAUUAACGAGCUUUAGUUACUGUCAUCUUAUUCAAAUGGAUGCCAUUUGAUUAGGUUAAGUAUUGAGCAUUAUUUUAGGAGAAACACCAGUUCCUUGAGAAGGAGCAGAGUAUUUUGAGACAGUCAAAAGGCCUGAAGUCAUAGGAACUAGGUUAUUUUAAGAAUACCGUUCGAAUUUGCAGCAGCAAAAAGACGCAGGGUAAACAGGAAGUGGAAAAGGCCAAGAAAGUGGUAUUUGGAUUAUCUAUAAUAAUAAAAGCGUAAUAUGCUAAUUAGACCAGACAAGGAUGUAGCCGGGGCUGCGAGGGAAGCCCAGGUCCUGGGUCCCGGGUGCCAGAGGGAAGCGGUGCCAGCAGCUGGGGAAAAGAAGGCCUACUCUUGCACGAACUUUGUGCACUGGCCUCUAGUUACUAAUAAAAAGGACACGGCGAGUGGCAAACUGGUAGGAAGCCUGUUACUGCAUGA